AACUUUAAGAUGAGACGAAACAAUUGGCAUACGUGCAGGUUAUUCAAUGAACAAGAUCAUAUGAAUAUCAAGCUCAAGUGAAUCCUCAUGGUUUAUGGGUCGUGGUGUAAUCGAGCCUAUGCCAGGAAAGCUCAGAGUUCAUGUCAUCCACUCAACGUCCUCAAUUAUGCAAAUUCCAUAGGUCAAAAGUAAUUCAUGACCGGGAAGCGAGUCAUGUAAAGAUGGAAUUGUCUUCAUCCUUUUUAAGAAAGAUCAGGACCGGGAAGCGAGUCAAAUCAC